CCUACCCUGAGUCAGGCGCUGGGCUGGACACUGGGAAUACACAAGACUGGAAGAAUAGAAGGCACCUCUGAUUCGUGGUCUAUCCGUGAGAGUGUAACAGAAUUAGGGAUAAAGGAUGAUUUUUCCCUCUGGAUGCGGAAGUUGGGGAAGGCUGAGGCAAGAAAUGGCUCAAUGGUGUGAGACUGGAGCUGGACCAGCCAGAGAAGAAACAGGAAAUGGCAUUAUCUGCAGCAUCCAAGCAUCUGGGGUGACCGGCAGCCAACCUCCCCGGCAGAAGCAGAGGAAGCAGCAUUGGGAAGGGGUGUGUCUGGAAGCUCUGUGAUCCUGUGCAGACAGACUGAGAAGUCCUGGUGAUUUCCACUGAAACCCUAAUAAAGGGAAGAGCCCAUUCCAGUGCACACAAGCACAGGGUACAGAGGAGUCUGGCCAGAGAAGAGCCUCUGGGACAAGGAAAAGCCAAAGCCAAGAAAGAAAAUAAACCAAGGCACAUGGAACCAGGCAGAAUGAUUCACCUGACUUCUCUCCACUGAAGGGGUUCCUGCAUUCACAGUAAGGAGAGACAAGUUAAUACCAGGCCCACGCUCUUCACAUACUUAAUAUUGUUCUUUUGUUUUAUUAGGACAUUUGUUUAAGCUAACUGUUUAGUAAAGUGUUUACAGCUUAUCCCAUAGUUUGGGUUCUUUCAUGAAUUGCUUUCAUUCGUUCAUUCAGCUGGUUAUUUAUGGAUUGCUACAGAAUUCCAUACCCUAUGCUCAGGAAUGGGAGUACAGAGCCUACAGCUUAGCAGGGGAGAUAGAAUGGUAAACAACAUUUACAAUGCAGACUCAAGUUCUACAUGGGUACUAAGUACCCGGCUAGGGAAGCACUGGAAUGCUUAGAAGGGUACAUUAUGAAGGGCCCUGAAGCCUGAUUAAGGAGCUUACACUUUAUUCUGGUUAAGAGAGCCGUUGAAAGACAUAUUAAUUAAAUGUUCCACCAAUGUAACAUUCUCACAUUGGGUGAACCCCAAAUACCUCAUCUAGAUUCUGGCACUCAGAAUGAACUACAUUAAAACCUCCCCCUUGAAAAAUCACUACCACCCAAAGAUUAUGCCUUUUGGGGAUAAGUUACAUUAUCCUCACCCAACAACAGUACGGAGCCAGGCAACGGCUACCUUGAGAUCCCUGAAACAGGUAAAACUUCACUCAGGUAGACUGAAACCCAGAAAAAUGAUCUUUUUUUAAAAAAACAAGAACCAUAUUCAGGCAAGCAAAGCCUUCAUUUACUCUAAGAUUCCCAAGAUUACCCAAAUCAUAAGAUUCCAGAGAUGCCCAAGGCCAGGGCUUUGAAAAAAAAAAAAAAUUGACUACUAAAAUUUUGAAGGCAAAAGGAAGGAAUUUGAGUCAUUUUGGUAGUAAAAAUAGAGAAUGCUGGAUGGAGGCCAGCCACCCAUUGUAAUAAUCAAGACAUUACUCUUUCAGUGUUUGAGGGAUCAUGUCAAAAUUCAUGUCAGAAAUGUUUGUUUUAUUUUCUAAAAUCCUAUGAAGGAGUCUUUCUCAACUACAGAGUUUCUACAAAGAAGGGGCUUAAGGCCAAUAACCUGCUUGUAAGAGAUUUGUCCUGAAGCUAUAUCUGUGUAGCUAGGACACUGUUUUUAUUCAGAUUGUAUGUUUAUUUGUAAUGGCUUGGAGAUUAAAUAAAGGCAGCUAGAAUACUCCUAAACUACCCUCUUGUGAUGUCACCACCACUCAAUAAAUGUGGUAUGUCCCACUGAGGGUAAUUAACCUGUGAGGCUAAUAAAUAUGACUGAUGGGGAAAUUAAGGCUGUUCCUGGAAGAACAUGUGACCAUACUGAAGUCAUUCUGUCCAUUGAUACCUUCUUUCCAUUCUAUGGGGAUAAUCUCUGCCUCUAGGAAUGAAAUGAAAGAAUAAAUGCCAUUAGCUGUGGGUGAGACAUUCAGUGUAAACUAAAUGUGAGGAGCACUGGAAGAAUUCACUUCAUCUCAUUCCACCCCCUAAGGUCUGCCUGGUGCUGAAAAUUCCCACAUUUUUUUAAACUUUUUUGAGUGAAGAUCUUAAAAGCUACUAUGAAAAUGCACAUUUUAUCUGGGAGGGGUGGCACAUUGAGUCAUUAGUAACAACAAUUACUCAAAUGACUUCAUCAAGUUAAACUCCCAACCAAUUACUGGGCAGUUUCCAGGGUAACAGUAAAGAUGCCUUUUGAUCCUGGGGAGAAGGCCAGAGGAUGUCUGUCUGAAAGACAGAUUCUGGGUGUGGGCCCAGGAAGACAUGAAAAAGAACCUUACUGCUUCCCCAUUUUGCUGGGACUGGCCCAGUCUCAUUGUUUGAGUGGUUUGGGCUGAGAUCAUGAGAAUAAUUCUGGCUAGAGCUAAUUGCUUUAUUGUAAACUUCAGGCCGUGUGAAGAGACUGGAUUAAGAAGUGCCUGGGUUACACAUUCACCAACUAUGUGAAUUUAUAUGUUUUACUUAAAGUCUUAGAGCCUCAGUUUUGCAUAAAAAGUGGGAAUAAUAAUAUAGGCCUCACAACUUCAGAGAGCUCCUGUGAAAAUCAAGUCAAUUAAUGAAUGUGAGAGUACUGUGCAAAUAAAAGAGGGUUAGUCAAAAGGCCAUGUUUGAUCCGGGAAUCACUUUCCUUGGUAUUUAACCCAAGUGAGUUGAAAACUUAUGUCCACCCAAAAACCUGUGCACAAAUUGGCAAUCAUGAAAUUGCCAAUACUUGGAAGCAACAAAGAUGUCCUUCAAUAGGUGAAUGGAUAAACAAAAUCUGGUACAUCCAUACAGUAGGAUAUUGUUCAGCAAUAAAAAGGAAUGAGCUAUCAAGCCAUGUAAAGGCAGGGAGGAACCUUAAAUGCAUAUUGCUAAGUGCAAGAAGUCAAUCUAAAAAGGGUACAUACUAUACGAUUCCAACUAUCUGACAUUCUGGAAAAGGUAAAACUCGGGAGACAGUAAAAAGACCAGUGGUUGCCAGGGGUUUAGAGGGAGGAAAGGAUGAAUAUGUGUAGUACACAGGAUUUUCAGGGCAGUGAAACUAUUUUGUAUGACACUGUAAUGCUGGAUACAUGUUAUUAUGCAUUUGUCAGAACCCACAGAAUGUACAACACAAAGAAUGAACCUUAAUGUAAACUACGAACUUCAGUUACUAAUAAUGUAUCAAAGGACCAUGUUACUCCUGAUUAAAACCCUUCAGUGGUACCCCAUUGCCCACCUAAGAAAGCCCAUGCUCUGCACAAGAGCAUCCAAAGCCCUCAAUCAUCUGGUCCCUUGCUCUACCCAUCCAGGAUUACUAGUUCCCUAAAUAAACUCUCAUGUUCAUCUGAUGUUUUUGCCUGCCUGACCAACAUCCACUUUUUCUUCUUCUGCUAACAUCACCCAUUUUCCUUCAGGAAACAGCACUCAAUCCAUCCUCAGUUUAUGUGGUUUGCUAGGAGCUGCACCACCACACUCAUAUUCUGCAUUGGACAUAUGUCCAAUCAGAGGUCAUCUAGACACUUUAACUGGAACCAUUAGGAAAACAAGCUAUCUUUUCAUGGGGCAUCUCAGAAACUAGAUUGAAACCUGAAUUUUUGUUGCCUUCUCUGCCAGGAUCUGGGAAGAUCCUGCCUAAAUGAAGCCAACAUAAAGAAUGAAUCCUGGAGAAAGCAAGAAUCCCAGGCAUAAUGGCAUCCAAUGAGUGCCUGGAUCCAGCUGCUUCUGAAGCUGGCCCUGCAUUUCCCACUCUUUUAGACUUUUCAAUUGUGCAAGCCAACAAAUAUGCUCUUUAUGUUUAAACCCAUUUGAAUUGGUCUUCUAUUAUCUUACAACCAUGAGUCACGCAAGGAGGAUGCUUUUCUGUGUCUCAUUCUGUUUCUUCUCCUCAUCACACCCUUGUGGUCUGAUAAACACCUUUUCACUCUUCAAGAUUAAGUUCUAGGGAAUUCCCUGGCAGUCCAGUGGUUAGGACUUGGUGCUUUCGCAGCCGUGGCCCAGGUUCAAUCCCUGGUCAGGGAACCUAGAUCCCACACGCCGCACCGUGUGGCCAGAAAAAAAAAAAAAAAAAAUUCAGUUCCAGCACCACCUCUCUAUGAAUCUUUCUAGACCAAUCCUCAUCUCCACUCUAGUUAGAAAAAGCUCCUCAGUCCCUGGAGCUUCCAUAGUACCCUGUGCUGACUUCCAGCAGAUAUGCUAUCUCUUAUUUACACUAAUCACACUUCAUUGUCUAUGUGACUGAAAGCUCCUCAGUCCUUCAAAGGGAGGUGUCAUAGUUUGGCAUCCCCAGCACUUUCUGAAUGCUUAUUGAAUGGAAAAGACAUUAUCAAAACAGGAGUUUGUGGGAAGAAGGGCAACAAAAAGGAGUGAAAAAGAACAAGCAGGAGAAAUUGUGUCCAAUCAUCUAGUUUAGAAGAGAAACUGAAUCUAAAUAAGAUGGAGGAGGGGUGAUAUACAGGGAAAUGUGAUUUACACCCCUAAUACUUUCAUUGCUCUAGUAGCAGUACCUACACUCUCUUUUUGCCCCAUUAUCACCCACACCUGGGAUCUUUUCAAGUUUACUUUUUGUAUUAAAAAGAGACAGCUUUUUAAUGUGGCAGAGAUAGCUAGUUCUCCUUCAAUAUCAGUUAUCCUCUUCUGCUAUAGAAAUAGAACCCCUGAUCUUUUGCUGGAUACAAGGAUGCCCAGAAUUAGAACUACAUACCCCAGACUCCCUAGCAGCUACGUGUGGCCCUAUGAUUAUUUUCUGGCCAAUGGAAUAUGAGCUGAAGUGGUGCAUGCAACUUCCUAAAGAGUAAACAGUUGCUUUCUUCCCCAUUUUUCCACUCCCACAAGCUGGAUGCAUGAGCCAUUCUGGACUCUGAGGAUGAGAAUAAGAUGAAAAGAGGAUGGGUCCCUAAAGCCACCAUAUCAGUCCUGGACCAUGAUACCAGAUACCAGAACCGUUACGUGAGAGAGAAAACAAACUUCUAACUUAUUUAAGCCUAUGAUUAGAGGGUCUCUAUUUCAACUGGCAAGCUUGUAUCGUUAUACAACUUCUUGGUCUCUCCUGUGUUUUUUUCCUUUUGCUUUGUUUGUUUGUUUUUUAAUAAAUUUAUUUAUAUAUUUAUUUUUGGCUGCGUUGGGUCUUCGUUGCUGCACGCAGG